AUGAUAGCUACAAUUAAAACUAUUAAACACACUGUGCUCUCGUCUGUCUGUCUGUCUCCAGGUGUCUCUCGCCCUCGCCACGCCUUGAUCUCCACCUCGCUGAGGAAGCGCUUCGGGAGGCGGAGCCGGCGUCUCAAGGCGGGGAAAGCCAAUCAGAGCGCGGCUGAGCCGGCCGACUCACCGGAGCAGGACGACACGAACGUCAGGAAGAGCAAAAGAAUCAAGCAGAGCCAGCCGGACGAGGAGAGCACGCCGACGAAGAAGAGGAGGAAGAAGGCCGGAGCGAAGGAGGAGUCCGUCGCCGAGGAGGUGGAGCAGGAGGAGGCCACGCCCCCCAGCCUAGAGAAGAAGAAGAAGAAGAAAAAGAAGACCAUUGGAGGAGAGGAGGCAGGGGGCGGAGCGGACCAAGAGGAGGUCACUCCAGAGCCUCCGGCCAAGAAGAAGAAGAGGACCAGACCGGCAGAAAAGGUGGAGGAGGAACCGGAGGCAGAACCUGAACCUGUCAGGAAAAAGAAGUCGACCAAAAAGAAGGUUCUGCAAUGA
rnacentral:lncRNA from 1 species